CACGUGGAUAAUCUGCCCUGGAGUGGGGAAUAACGCUGGGAAACCGGCGCUAAUACCGCAUAUUCCCGAGAGGGGAAAGCAGCAAUGCGCUCGAGGAGGAGUCCGCGGCCGAUUAGCUAGUUGGUAGGGUAAAAGCCUACCAAGGCUAUGAUCGGUAGCCGGCCUGAGAGGGCACACGGCCACACUGGCACUGAAACACGGGCCAGACUCCUACGGGAGGCAGCAGUGGGGAAUCUUGCACAAUGGGGGAAACCCUGAUGCAGCGACGCCGCGUGAGCGAUGAAGCCCUUCGGGGUGUAAAGCUCUUUCGGCAGGGAAGAUUAUGACGGUACCUGCAGAAGCAGCUGCGGCUAACUACGUGCCAGCAGCCGCGGUAAUACGUAGGCAGCAAGCGUUGUUCGGAGUUACUGGGCGUAAAGGGUGUGUAGGUGGCCUGUUAAGUUCCGUGUGAAAUCUCCCGGCUCAACCGGGAGGGUGCGCGGAAAACUGGCGGGCUAGAGUACGGGAUGGGAGAGUAGAAUUCCUGGUGUAGCGGUGAAAUGCGUAGAUAUCAGGAGGAAUACCGGUGGUGUAGACGGCUCUCUGGACCGUAACUGACACUGAGACACGAAAGCGUGGGUAGCAAACAGGAUUAGAUACCCUGGUAGUCCACGCCCUAAACGAUGCAUAUUUGGUGUAGGCAGUUCAUUCUGUCUGUGCCGGAGCUAACGCGUUAAAUAUGCCGCCUGGGGAGUACAGUCGCAAGACUGAAACUCAAAGGAAUUGACGGAAUCGAAUU
rnacentral:rRNA from 1 species